rnacentral:rRNA from 1 species
AGAGUUUGAUCCUGGCUCAGAAUCAACGCUGGCGGCGUGCCUCAGACAUGCAAGUCGAACGAUUAAAGCUCUCUUCGGAGAGUGCAUAGAGUGGCGCACGGGUGAGUAACACGUAAGUAAUCUACCCUCGAGUGGGGAAUAACGUUCGGAAACGGACGCUAAUACCGCAUAAUGCAGCGGCACCGCAAGGUGACAGUUGUUAAAGAUUUAUCGCUUGAGGAGGAGCUUGCGGCAGAUUAGCUAGUUGGUAAGGUAAUGGCUUACCAAGGCUACGAUCUGUAACCGGUCUUAGAGGACGGUCGGUCACACUGACACUGAAUAACGGGUCAGACUCCUACGGGAGGCAGCAGUCGGGAAUUUUGGGCAAUGGGCGAAAGCCUGACCCAGCAACGCCGCGUGAAGGAUGAAGUAUUUCGGUAUGUAAACUUCGAAAGAAUAGGAAGAAUCAAUGACGGUACUAUUUAUAAGGUCCGGCUAACUACGUGCCAGCAGCCGCGGUAAUACGUAGGGACCAAGCGUUGUUCGGAUUUACUGGGCGUAAAGGGCGCGUAGGCGGCGCGGUAAGUCACUUGUGAAAUCUCUGAGCUUAACUCAGAACGGCCAAGUGAUACUGCAGUGCUAGAGUGUGGAAGGGGCAAUCGGAAUUCUUGGUGUAGCGGUGAAAUGCGUAGAUAUCAAGAGGAACACCUGAGGUGAAGACGGGUUGCUGGGCCAA